ACUCUUGUCGAAUGGCUCGACUGGUGUUAAUGGUAUACCAGAUAUAUGGUUUGUACUGUUAUCAUCGGGCUCUGCUAGCGCUGAGGAGGCUUCUUCAAGUUGAAGUGCAUAUUCUAAAUUCCACAGCACAUCCCCCAUUGAAGGACUAUCAACUCCGUGCUCAGCCAAACACUUCUCAGUUGUCUCCCCGAACUUUUUCAGGGCGGCUGGAUUCACCUUCCCCUUCAACGAAGUGCAUAUUCUAAAUUCCACAGCACAUCCCCCAUCGAAGGUCUAUCAACUCCGUGCUCAGCCAAACACUUUGCAGCUGUCUCCCCGAACUUUUUCAGGGCAGCUGGAUUCACCUUCCCCUUGAGGUUUGUGUCCAUUAUCCGAUCCAACAUGCCUUUCUUUUGCCAAAUCAUAGCCCACUCGGCUAUAUUAACUUGUUCACGUGGGAGCACUGGAUUUAAUGCAGGUCUUGUGCAGAGAACUUCCAUUAGGACAACACCAAAUGAAUACACAUCUGAUUUCUCUGUAAGCUGCUGCCUCCUGAAGUAUUCAGGAUCAAGGUAUCCAAAACUACCCUUAACAGCGGUGCUAACAUGUGUCUGAUCAAGAGCCGGUCCAGCUUUAGAAAGACCAAAAUCAGCAACUUUAGCUACAAAGUUCUCAUCCAAAAGUAUAUU
rnacentral:lncRNA from 1 species